AGGAUGAACGCUGGCGGCGUGCCUAAUACAUGCAAGUCGAGCGGUAAGGCCCCUUCGGGGGUACACGAGCGGCGGACGGCUGAGUAACACGUAGGAACGUACCCCAAACUGAGGGAUAAGCACCAGAAAUGGUGUCUAAUACCGCAUGUGGUCUUCGGAUUAAAGCUUCGGCGGUUUGGGAACGGCCUGCGCAUGAUUAGCUUGUUGGUGAGGUAAAAGCUUACCAAGGCGACGAUCAUUAGCUGGUCUGAGAGGAUGAUCAGCCAGACUGGGACUGAGAACGGCCCAGACUCCUACGGGAGGCAGCAGUAGGGAAUUUUCCACAAUGGGCGAAAGCCUGAUGGAGCAACGCCGCGUGCAGGACGAAGGCCUUCGGGUUGUAAACUGCUUUUAUAUGUGAAGAUUAUGACGGUAGCAUAUGAAUAAGGAUCGGCUAACUCCGUGCCAGCAGCCGAC
rnacentral:rRNA from 1 species